AUGGGGAGGGCGCCGUGCUGCGAGAAGGUGGGGUUGAAGCAAGGAAGGUGGACGGCGGAGGAGGAUGACUUACUCACGAAAUACAUUGCUCAGCACGGCGAGGGCUCAUGGAGGUCUCUGCCCAAGAAUGCAGGGCUGCUGAGGUGUGGCAAGAGCUGCAGGCUACAGUGGCUCAACUACCUGAGCGACGGCGUGAAGAGGGGCAACUUCUCUAAAGAGGAGGAUAAUCUCAUUGUCAAGCUCCAUGCCACCCUUGGCAGCAGGUGGUCGGUGAUCGCCAGCUACCUGCCAGGGCGGACUGACAACGAGAUCAAGAACUACUGGAAUGCGCAUCUCAGCCGGCAGAUCUACAACUUCCGGCACGUGUACGCCGCGAUUAGCGAAACCACUGUAACCAUCGAUGUCGACAAGCUUUCCGCCACUACCAAGCGCCGAGGCGGCAAGGCGCCCAGGAGCACCACGAAGAUGCAGCCCGUGCCUAAGCCCACCAAGUCCAAGGAAGGCUCAAGCCCAGUCAACACCAUAUCGACAACAUCAAGCCAGGCCGGCCCAGACCGGGACCAGCAACCCAUCAACAACAUGACUUGUGGUGUGCCCUGCAGCGAGGAGGCCAUGGUCAUGGACCCCGUAGAUCAGAAUGGUAUGGUCCAACUCAUGGAGACCAACUGCUCAGAUGACUCGGUGAAUCAGAUUGGGGUUUUUGAGGAGGAAAGCGAGAUGGAGGCCCUGCUUUUAUGCAUCGACGACGACAUGCCGGUUAGUGUGCUUACUGGCAUCGAGCAGGGAGGCCACUCUCCUCGGGUGGAGGAUCUGCUCGACAUGGACUGGGAAGGUUUUGCGUCCCACCUAUGGGACCAGCGAUCCCAGAGUGAUCUGCUCCAGACCGCUGAGCCGCAGGCAAUGACCGGCUCCGAGUCAGACGAUCUCGAGUCGUUUGUCAGUUGGCUCCUCUCCGACCAUGCAUGA
rnacentral:rRNA from 1 species